rnacentral:rRNA from 1 species
CCUACGGGUGGCUGCAGUGAGGAAUAUUGGACAAUGGGCGCAAGCCUGAUCCAGCCAUGCCGCGUGCAGGAUGACGGUCCUAUGGAUUGUAAACUGCUUUUAUACGGGAAGAAACCCUGGAACGUGUUCCAGAUUGACGGUACCGUAAGAAUAAGGAUCGGCUAACUCCGUGCCAGCAGCCGCGGUAAUACGGAGGAUCCAAGCGUUAUCCGGAAUCAUUGGGUUUAAAGGGUCCGUAGGCGGUCUUAUAAGUCAGUGGUGAAAUCCGGCAGCUC